CACGCAGGCGGUUUGUUAAGUCAGAUGUGAAAUCCCCGGGCUCAACCUGGGAACUGCAUCUGAUACUGGCAAGCUUGAGUCUCGUAGAGGGGGGUAGAAUUCCAGGUGUAGCGGUGAAAUGCGUAGAGAUCUGGAGGAAUACCGGUGGCGAAGGCGGCCCCCUGGACGAAGACUGACGCUCAGGUGCGAAAGCGUGGGGAGCAAACAGGAUUAGAUACCCUGGUAGUCCACGCCGUAAACGAUGUCGACUUGGAGGUUGUGCCCUUGAGGCGUGGCUUCCGGAGCUAACGCGUUAAGUCGACCGCCUGGGGAGUACGGCCGCAAGGUUAAAACUCAAAUGAAUUGACGGGGGCCCGCACAAGCGGUGGAGCAUGUGGUUUAAUUCGAU
rnacentral:rRNA from 1 species